rnacentral:rRNA from 1 species
AGUGAACGCUGGCGGCGUGCUUAACACAUGCAAGUCGAACGAGAACGGGUUAUAGCUUGCUAUAAUUGUCAGCUAAGUGGCGCACGGGUGAGUAAUGUAUAGGUAAUAUGCCUCUUACUAAGGGAUAACAAAUGGAAACGUUUGCUAAUACCUUAUACUCCUUAUUAACAGAAGUUAAUAAGGGAAAGAUUUAUUGGUAAGAGAUUAGCCUGUAUUGUAUCAGUUAGUUGGUGGGGUAAUGGCUUACCAAGACUAUGACACAUAACUGGUUUGAGAGGAUGAGCAGUCACACUGGAACUGGGACACGGUCCAGACUCCUACGGGAGGCAGCAGUGGGGAAUAUUGCACAAUGGACGAAAGUCUGAUGCAGCAACGCCGCGUGGAGGAUGACACAUUUCGGUGCGUAAACUCCUUUUAUAUGAGAAGAUAAUGACGGUAUUAUAUGAAUAAGCACCGGCUAACUACGUGCCAGCCGCCGCGGUAA